rnacentral:rRNA from 1 species
UAAGACGAAGGUGGCAAGCGUUGUUCGGUAUCACUGGGCUUAAAGAGUGUGUAGGCGGAAAGGUAAGCGUCCUGUGAAAGCCCCCGGCUCAACCGGGGAAUGGCGAGACGAACUGUCUUUCUUGAGCCAAGUAGGGGUGCACGGAACUGUUGGUGGAGCGGUGGAAUGCGUAGAUAUCAACAGGAACGCCGGUGGAGAAAUCGGUGCACUGGGCUUGUUCUGACGCUGAGACACGAAAGCGUGGGGAGCGAACGGGAUUAGAUACCCCGGUAGUCCACGCCGUAAACGAUGUCUACUAGGUUGUGGAAGUUCUGACGCUGCCACGGCCGAAGCUAAAGUGCUAAGUAGACCGCCUGGGGAGUACGGCCGCAAGGCUA